rnacentral:rRNA from 1 species
GACGAACGCUGGCGGCGUGCUUAACACAUGCAAGUCGAACGGAAAGGCCCUGCUUUUGUGGGGUGCUCGAGUGGCGAACGGGUGAGUAACACGUGAGUAACCUGCCCUUGACUUUGGGAUAACUUCUGGAAACUGGGGCUAAUACCGGAUAGGAGCUCCUGCUGCAUGGUGGGGGUUGGAAAGUUUCGGCGGUUGGGGAUGGACUCGCGGCUUAUCAGCUUGUUGGUGGGGUAGUGGCUUACCAAGGCUUUGACGGGUAGCCGGCCUGAGAGGGUGACCGGCCAAAUUGGGACUGAGAUACGGCCCAGACGCCUACGGGAGGAAGCAGGGGGGAAUAUGGCACAAGGGGCGGAAGCCGGAGGCAGCAACGCCGGGUGCGGGAUGACGGCCUUGGGGUUGUAAACCGCUUUCGCCUGGAACGAAGGGGGAGUGAGGGUAAGGGGAAAAGAAGCACCGGCAAAUUACGU